rnacentral:tRNA from 1 species
AGCUCAAUUGGUAGAGCAACUGACUUGUAAUCAGUAGGUUGGGGGUUCAAGUCCUGCGCCC